UCUGCCGCCGCCCGCUUCUGGGCUUUCUUGGCUGGGGCUGCUCCUGACAGAAGGGAUGCAUGUUGUCAGGGGCGGGGGGCUUGGCAUGUGUGUGUGUGCAUGUGCGAGUAUGUGUGUGUGUUUAAAAUACAAAAAAAAAAAAGCGUGGCUACACCCAGCUGCGAGAGGCUGGCCGGGCUCCGUCCGUGCCAGUUGCCUCUGAGCUGGCACUGUGGGGACAGGAGGAGGGAGAGGUGAGAGCUGCCACGGAGGGAAGAUGGACGCUUGCCAUGGACGAACAGCGGGCUAGGUGCCUCCUGGGUGCCCGUGGGCUCACGGGGCCAAAACCCAUAAACAAAAACCACAGAAAAUCGCCAGCAGCCCAUCUUGGGGAGGCAGCAGCCGCUUCGCAGCGGAGCCAUGGAGGACCCAGCUGGGAGCAGGUGGACAGUGGCGGCCAGCGAGGCACAGAUACUGGCUCAGCCGGGACACCUCGUCGUCCCAUCUGCCACUGGGAUCCCAGAGGCGGGAGAGCAGAGAAGUGCUGCAGAAGGGCCUGACGGAAGCAGUGCCUGCCUCCACAGUUAACCUCAUGGCCCAUGCGUCUAAAAAGCCUUGCUGCUGACAUGGGAAGAACCUCACCUGGAAGAAGAGCGCCCCUGGGAGAGAGCCUGGGACCUGCCCACCUCCCUCCGAGGUCCUAUCUGCUCGGCCAGGGGUCUUGCCACCUCACCACAGGAGACUACCUCAGGCCUCUGCACAAGCCAGUUCCUCUCCCUGAAGGUCCUUUCCUUCCUCCUGCCUUUUGUCCAAGCCCAGCUUUUCUGAGGACGUGGCAUCUGAGCAGACUUGAAGGAGGGAAUAUCUUCUUUGCACCAAGGCAAGGCAAGGCUGACGGUCGCUCACAUCUUUCGGCUGCCCCUGGCCAGGCUGGGACAUGGGGGAGGAGGAGUGAGGAACGGGUGAGGGGCGCCAUCCCAUCCCUGCCCUGCUUGCCCUCAGUCUCCCUGCUUCUCCCAGUCCCUGACGCCUCUCUCCUGUCUGCCUUUUGAUUCCUUCUUUUUGUGGGUUCUCUCCCAAAUGAUUCGCACCCGCCAGCUCCAAGCCCCCUCGCUCUGCCCGUCCUCACCCCUCACCCACAUCUUGAAUGCCAGCCCAGCCCUGAUGAUGAGGGAUUAAUUACAAGCAGCCUUAACCCACAACCCGGAGGGUGAUCCCAGGAGCUGGGGCAGAUCCUUUGUUCCUAAGAGGAGCCUGUCACGGUUGAGGAACAGGCAGGUUCAAGCCUCCUGCCCCCCACCACCGCCAUAGAUCUGGGGGAGCCGUGAUUAUCUCCUUUCCCAGAAGAGGAAGCUGAGGUUCCGAGAGGUUAUCAGUCACAGUCACCUUGCUCAGCGCUGGCAACUCUUGACAGAGAGAGGAAUUGCCAAGAGGCCGGGCCUGCGGAGACAGUCUUGGUCCAGCACGGGGCAGGCGCCGAGGUCUGCUCACCUCACCUGUGUCUCCUCCCUCCUCUGCGAGGCGGGACGGUCCUCCCCACAUGACAGCGAGCAAAGACAACCUGUGCAGCAGCUCAUGGGAAGGGCCAGCCCGUGGAGCAGCAAAGGGGGCUGCCUCCUCUGUGCCCCUGGUUUAGUGUCAUCGGUGCCCCUGUAGUGGACUGAACAGUUUCCCCAAAAGAUAUGUCCACAUCCCAACCCCCAGAACCUGUAACUGUGACCUUGUUUGGAGGAAGGGUCUUUGCAGAUGUGAUUAAGUGAAGAAUCUCAAGAUGAGGUCAUCCUGGAUUAGGGUGGCCCCAAAUCCAUUGACUAAGGUUUUCAUAAGGGAAGAGAAAGAUUUAGACACAGAGGGAGAGGCCAUGUGAGGACAAGGGCAGAGGUUGGAUGGGUGUGGCCCCAAGCCAAGGCAUGCCUGGGGCUCCCAGGAGCUGGAAGAGGCAGGAAGGACCGUUCCCCAGAGCCUCCAGAGGGAGCGCAGCUCUGUGACACCUGGAUUUCAGACUCUGCCUCCAGAACUGGGAGGGAACAGAUUCUUGUUGUAGGCCUCCCAUCUGACCUCACAGCAGCACCAGGACAUUCCCAGCAUCCCCCACCUGGCUGAGAGCCCCCGGUGGGCAUGGAUGGCAGUAUUCCGAUCCACUCUAAAGCUGCAGCAACAAGCCUGGUGCCUGCAAUCACAAAGAUGCUCAGUGGAAGUUCAUUGGACAAGUGAAUGAACCCAGGGGUAAGGAUGGGGUCUGAGCAUGUAAGAGCUCAGGUGACCGGGAAGCCACACACAACAGGUUAGUGUGCUGAGCUCAAGAAAAUCAAAGGCAACGGGACAGCAUGCUCCCCCCGCAACUCCCAUGUGCAACCACAUUUCUAGCUCCUCAUAUCGGGGUACGUGUGCCAUCUUGGGGUUCCACUUCCUCCCCGGAGACGCAGAGAUGCUGGCUCCGGAGACCCGAGCAGGCUCUGUUCCAGCCACCGAGUGGGGGACAGCUGAGUGGGUGGGUGUGGUUCUCCAUUCACGUGGACAUUUCUGUGAGUGGGAAAUGAAUUUUGGGGAGCAAUUUGCUCUGGCAGCCGGCCUGGCCUGCUCUAACUAACAGUGGCCAUCCUCCAAGAACAGCGAUCCUCAUGUUUGUGAGCGUGGAACCCCAUCCGAGGGAUGUGGGAGACAUUUUGCGUCCUCACAAAUGGUGUGACAGCCAGGGGCUGCCCCAGGAAGGGAUUGGGAUGGAAAUAGUGCAGUUGAUCUAAAAAGCAGAAAGCCAGCGUCCGUGGGGAGGGCAGCCGUGUGCCGCUUGGGAUGUGUUAUUUUCCAGAUUUCAUGCUGGAGAACAGAAAGGAGAGGCACUGCUGGGGAUCGAUGUGGUUUCUGUCACUAAAGAGAGAAAGGUCAAGGCUGGAGAUGAUGCAUUGCCGCACCGCCGGGAGCCACAGAGGUUCUUGGCUAAGCUGUUGUUCCCGCCAGCGGCCUGAGGAGACCACACCUUAUGGGGUCAUCCCCUCACCCCCGCAGACCCAGGCCUGCCUAUCACCAAGACCUCCCUUGCACAUGGGACCAGGCAUGAGGGUGGGUAUAUGAGGGCCACUCUCAUUGGGCCUCGGGUGAUUGCAUCUGGGAGGGGGUGGGCAGAAGCGGGAUACUCAGCGGUGGUCAGAGCAAGAGAGAAGCGCCCUGGCUGGAGGGGAAGGACCCCCAGGAGGAUGGAGGCAGGACAUGUUUGGGCCCAGGACCCAUGUGUCCCCGCACGGAGGGGAAUGUUUGGGGAGCUGUCCAUCUGGCCAGGGUGGCAGACAUGUGAAGGAGCGAGCAGAGAGUGAGAAAGGAUGAGUAUUACUGGGUUAACCCAUUGGGGUCCCGGCGAAGAGGCUCCCCCAAAGAGGUCACAGUGGGAGAUCUGGGGGAGCUGCUCACACCUAGAUUCCUCUUUCUUACACACGUGUGUCCCACACCAGCGGGUCACUAGGGGGGUGGAGGAGCAAGUACAGUGGGCCCAGGAGACUAGGCUAGGAGGAGAUGGGAGCUGGAAAAGCCUGGAGGAAACUAGAGGACGUACAGGUCACGCAGGGCAGUGACAACACAGCCAGAACAGGCCUCCCAUAGCCUGGCAAGGGUGUGAGUGGGCAGAUGACAGCCCCUAGGAUUGCAUCCCAGCUGUCACCCUGAUUCCUCACAACCAGCACAAAGGAGACACUGUCAUCACCCCAGUGUGCUGCCAGAAAUGCAGGGGCCAAGAGCUGGAAGGUGCGGUCGGUCAGGACGAGGCAGAGCCACGGGGCAGGCCUCCUGCUCCCAGACAGGGUCAGGGCCCCUCCACAAGUAAGGGCCAUUCGAAUGCCAAGUGAAAAGCCCUCAUUAGCUAAUAAAAAGUGCUUGCCUUCCCUUGUCACGUAAUUAAUGGGAUCUAGGACGUCAAUUAAGCUCUGUCCAACUUGCAAAAGGCCACAGUCACAGCUCCACAGACAGGCCAGUGCUGGGCAACUCCCAGCCUCACCCACCUGCCUCUGCCUCAGCGAGGCUGCUCCUUGCUCCCCCUUUCCCUUUGGACACCCUCCCACCAAAGAUGGGGAGCACAGCUGGGCGCUGGG